AUUGAACGCUGGCGGCAUGCCUUACACAUGCAAGUCGAACGGUAACGGGCCUUCGGGUGCCGACGAGUGGCGAACGGGUGAGUAAUACAUCGGAACGUGCCCGAUCGUGGGGGAUAACGAGGCGAAAGCUUUGCUAAUACCGCAUACGAUCUACGGAUGAAAGCAGGGGACCGCAAGGCCUUGCGCAGACGGAGCGGCCGAUGGCAGAUUAGGCAGUUGGUGGGAUAAAAGCUUACCAAGCCGACGAUCUGUAGCUGGUCUGAGAGGAUGAUCAGCCACACUGGGACUGAGACACGGCCCAGACUCCUACGGGAGGCAGCAGUGGGGAAUUUUGGACAAUGGGCGCAAGCCUGAUCCAGCCAUGCCGCGUGCAGGAUGAAGGCCUUCGGGUUGUAAACUGCUUUUGUACGGAACGAAAAGCCUUCUUUUAAUACAGGAGGGUCAUGACGGUACCGUAAGAAUAAGCACCGGCUAACUACGUG
rnacentral:rRNA from 1 species